rnacentral:rRNA from 1 species
AGAGUUUGAUCCUGGCUCAGAGCGAACGCUGGCGGCACGCUUAACACAUGCAAGUCGAACGAAGGCCCGGAGCUUGCUCCGGAUACCUUAGUGGCGGACGGGUGAGUAACGCGUGGGAACAUACCUUACGAUGGGGAAUAACAGUUGGAAACGACUGCUAAUACCGCAUACGCCCUUCGGGGGAAAGGCUUCGGCCGUCGUUUGAGUGUCCCGCGUUCGAUUAGCUAGUUGGUAGGGUAAUGGCCUACCAAGGCAACGAUCGAUAGCUGGUCUGAGAGGACGAUCAGCCACACUGGAACUGAGACACGGUCCAGACUCCUACGGGAGGCAGCAGUAGGGAAUAUUGUGCAAUGGGCGAAAGCCUGACACAGCCAUGCCGCGUGUGUGAAGAAGGCCUUAGGGUUGUAAAGCACUUUCAGUAAGGAAGAAAAAGCCGAAUUAAUAACUCGGUAAUAUGACAUUACUACAGAAGAAGCACCGCUAACU